rnacentral:tRNA from 1 species
AAGGCUUGUAAAACUCUAAUUUACAUAUCCUGAAUGCAACUCAGACACUUUAAUUAAGCUAAAGCCUC